rnacentral:rRNA from 1 species
UACGGAGACUGCAAGCGUUAUUCGGAUUCACUGGGCGUAAAGGGUGCGCAGGCGGCCGGGUGUGUCAGAUGUGAAAUCCCGAGGCUUAACCUCGGAACUGCGUCUGAAACUACUCGGCUAGAGUAUUGGAGAGGGUAACGGAAUUCACGGUGUAGCAGUGAAAUGCGUAGAUAUCGUGAGGAACACCAGAGGCGAAGGCGGUUACCUGGACAAUUACUGACGCUCAGGCACGAAAGCAUGGGGAGCAAAAGGG